ensembl:lncRNA
CUGAAAUGAAAACUGAUCUUUUCCAGUCCUGUGGCUACUGCUGAGUUUUUCAAAUUUGCUGGCAUAUUGAGUAUAGUAUUUUAACAGCAUCAUAUUUUAUGAUUUGAAAUAUCUCAGCUGGAAUUCCAUCACCUCCGUUAGUUUUGUUCAUAGUGAUGAUUCCUAAGGCCCACUUGAUUUUGCAUUCCAGUAUGUCUGGCUCUAGGUAUGUGGCAGUGAAAGAGUACAUGCUAGAAUUCCACAGAGGGAGACUUCCCCUCAGUCAGGCUUACAUCAAACAGUGACCACUGCAUUGCUAAACAUGCAGAAUCAAGUGCAUGAACACUGCAGAAGAUCAACUGGGAUUUUUGUUUCUGAAGAGAAGAAUUCUCAUUCAAAAUAUAAGUGUGUGUACUUUCAUUCUAUGUUUUUAUCCUUAAUGUUUCAAAUUAUAAUGCAAACUUCCUAAGCUGAUAAAUUUGCUGUUUAGAGAUUCUUUCUUAUAAAACAAUAUAGAGAGCUGUUUGUGAAAGAUGAAGAAUGGUAGUUGAAAUGCUUAAUGUUCCUGUGUAAUUUGCUAAUGCUUUGAGAAAUAGGAAUGUAAUGUCAGUGGCAGAUGCUUCAUACAAAUGAAAAAAUAAAUUAAUUACAUGUGUAACUUUUGUUAAAAGAGAAACGUGCACUAAUGCUUAAUCUAGACUUUCACUAUAUUUGGAUUUAUUGUAGUAUGUACUAAUAAUAAUUCCACUGGUUUCAGAAUGUUUGUUUUUUCUAAUGCAUAGAAACAAUAUGUUAUUAACAUUCCUAAUUUCCAGAUCUGAUGUCCUCAGAGUCCCCCAGUGACAACCAUUGAUGUCCCAUCCAGACUAGCUCAGGUUGUGAGGUGAUGAUGGCUAUAGCUGAAGGCACAUCACCUGUCUAUAUCCAUCAGCUGGUAGAAUAUGAUCCUAAUCUCAAGGUUAGAACAUGAAAAUCUGGAAUAUGAUUAACAAAUCCUGAAAGGGUUUUGUCCACUGACUCUCAAACUUCCUCCACCUCCACAGCAGUGACUUCUUCAUCUGUGUUGACACGGUUGCAUUUCUUGUCUUCUGUGUUGGUCUCUCUAAUUAGCACUUUUGUAUCCUACCAGAGAGUUUGAAAAUAAAUCCCUGACUACUUGGAUAAAGCCCUAAUAAACCACUAUAUUCUUGAGAAAGCCCUU